rnacentral:rRNA from 1 species
AGAGACGAGUCAGAGUUUGAUCCUGGCUAGGAUGAACGCUGGCGGCGUGCUUAACACAUGCAAGUCGAACGAAGCACUUUAUUACGAUUUCUUCGGAAUGACGAUUUAGUGACUGAGUGGCGGACGGGUGAGUAACGCGUGGGUAACCUGCCUCAUACAGGGGGAUAACAGUUGGAAACGACUGCUAAUACCGCAUAAGCGCACAGUAUCGCAUGAUACAGUGUGAAAAACUCCGGUGGUAUGAGAUGGACCCGCGUCUGAUUAGCUAGUUGGUGGGGUAACGGCCUACCAAGGCGACGAUCAGUAGCCGACCUGAGAGGGUGACCGGCCACAUUGGGACUGAGACACGGCCCAA